rnacentral:rRNA from 1 species
AGCUCCACGAGCAUGUACGUAAGUUGUUGCAGUUAAAAAGCUCGUAGUUGGAUCUCAGACCUGUGGUCAGUGGUCCGCCUAACAUGGGUGUGUACUGUUGUACCCGGUCUACGUCUGGUUUAACGUCUGUAGUGCCCUUAACCGGGUGUUGCAGAAUGCCAGAAAGUUUACUCUGAAAAAAUUAGAGUGCUUAAAGCAAGCCGUUUGUGCUUGAAUACUGUUGCAUGGAAUAAUGAAAUAGGACCUCGGAUCUAUUUUGUUGGUUUUCGGAGUCGAGGUAAUGAUUAAGAGGGACAGACGGGGGCAUUCGUAUUGCGCCGUUAGAGGUGAAAUUCUUGGAUCGGCGCAAGACGAACGACUGCGAAAGCAUUUGCCAAGGAUGUUUUCAUUAAUCAAGAAC